GAAUAUUACCGCACAACUUCCGUUCCUGGCGGUGGCCAUUUGAUUGGGAGAGCCAAGUUAUUGAUUCAUUUUGCAGAAGUCUCGGCGACUAGCUAUCACAUUCUCGGCUAGAGCCGCUGAUUCUAUGAUUCUACUCAGCCGUCUUCCGAUCAGCCUCGCCGGACAAAGCAAAACCCUCCGAUGAGGAAGUCUCGCUUGCGAAAGAAUGUUUCUGACUCUAUAUGGCUAUGAAUUCUUGUGAGUAUUGACUAGGUAGCACUUGGAUUGGAAUUUGUGAAUUCUUGUAAAUAUGCAGUAAAAUAUAUCUCUUUUGGGAGUGCUUGUGUUGAUAAUCCCAUUCGGAACAGAAUUGUAAUUUGAAUAUUUAGGAGAGAAAUGUGCGGCCCAAAACGGAGGGAAGCGAUUCGACUUGGGCCAGGGAUCACUGCAGAAGUCGGGAAGGGAGAGAAUGCUCUGUAUGAAGUCCGGCUUAUUUCUAAACACUAUUCCCGGUGCUUCACCAUGAUAAAGGAUAUGGUCUACUACAAAGGCAUGCACGUGAAGUGAGAAGGUAAAGCUGCUCCCAACUUUCACCAUCCCAAUAAACAAG